UACGAGGGGAGCAAGCGUUGUUCGGAUUUACUGGGCGUAAAGGGCGCGUAGGCGGCCACGACAAGUCACUUGUGAAAUCUCCGGGCUUAACUCGGAACGGUCAAGUGAUACUGUCGGGCUAGAGUACAGAAGGGGCAACUGGAAUUCUCGGUGUAGCGGUGAAAUGCGUAGAUAUCGAGAGGAACACCUGCGGCGAAGGCGGGUUGCUGGGCAACACCUGACACUGAGGCACGAAAGCUAGGGGAGCAAACAGG
rnacentral:rRNA from 1 species